UAUUCCCCACUGCUGCCUCCCGUAGGAGUCUGGGCCGUAUCUCAGUCCCAAUGUGGCCGUUUAACCUCUCAGUCCGGCUACUGAUCAUCGUCUUGGUAGGCCGUUACCCCACCAACUAACUAAUCAGACGCAAGCCCAUCUAUUAGCGAAUUGCUCCUUUUCUGACUACAUCAUGCGAUGUUUCCAGCUUAUACGGUAUUAGCAAUGAUUUCUCACUGUUAUUCCCUACUAAUAGGCAGGUUGCUUACGCGUUACUCACCAGUCCGCCACUAACCGCUUCCAUUAGUAAACUAACGAAUUAAGUUCGUUCGACUUGCAUGUCUUAUGUGCGCCGCCAGCGUUCAUCCUGAGCCAA
rnacentral:rRNA from 1 species